ensembl:ncRNA C29E6.15 ncRNA
ACUUUCUGCCAAACUCUUGCAACUUAUUGUUGAACUUAGGGCUUUCAUAAACGCCUGCCUUGCGCCUUUCUCACGAUUUCUGCUGAAGCACUCGUGAACUUUCAGAAAUUUGUUCACGACAAGGUGCAGAAAACAGGCGAGAGGCCGUUG